GAUUCAGCGAUGCUCGACUAUAUCGGCCCCAUCGACGUAAUCAACUUCUGGCUGCUGCAAAGAAGGAAAACAAAAAGUUUAGGGAUUAAUAAGGUGCCACGAAAGUGGCGUACCUUUUCAUAUACCAUGUGGGUGCACAGCCCCUGGUAUAUUAUGGAAUUAACACUAGGGCUCAUCAUACUAAUAGUGUUGACGUAUGGAUUAAAAGCCCCGACUUUAAGAUUAGCUAUGCUACUUGCGGGUGCUGUAGGGGUUGCUGGGCUAUUAGCUGAGCCCCAUCUAUUAUGUUGGACACAGGCUAUUAAGAUGUUGGUGAUGCUAAGUGGGCUAGCUAUAUUAUGUAUGCUAGACCAUCGAACAACGCAUCGAUCAAGCUCUUUAUUAAUUUUAUUAGUG
rnacentral:rRNA from 1 species